rnacentral:rRNA from 1 species
UGGUUUACCAGACCCGGAAGGCGCGGGCCUUAGUGGCGGACGGGUGAGUAACGCGUGGGGAACCUGCCCCGUACCCGGGGGAUAACACCUGGAAACAGGUGCUAAUACCGCAUAACAGAAGGGGACGCAUGUUUCUUUCUUGAAAACUCCGGUGGUACGGGAUGGACCCGCGUCUGAUUAGCUGGUUGGCGGGGUAACGGCCCACCAAGGCGACGAUCAGUAGCCGGCCUGAGAGGGCGGACGGCCACAUUGGGACUGAGACACGGCCCAAACUCCUACGGGAGGCAGCAG